GACGAACGCUGGCGGCGUGCUUAACACAUGCAAGUCGAACGGAAAGGCCCUGCUUUUGUGGGGUGCUCGAGUGGCGAACGGGUGAGUAACACGUGAGUAACCUGCCCUUGACUUUGGGAUAACUUCAGGAAACUGGGGCUAAUACCGGAUAGGAGCUCCUGCUGCAUGGUGGGGGUUGGAAAGUUUCGGCGGUUGGGGAUGGACUCGCGGCUUAUCAGCUUGUUGGUGGGGUAGUGGCUUACCAAGGCUUUGACGGGUAGCCGGCCUGAGAGGGUGACCGGCCACAUUGGGACUGAGAUACGGCCCAGACUCCUACGGGAGGCAGCAGUGGGGAAUAUUGCACAAUGGGCGGAAGCCUGAUGCAGCAACGCCGCGUGCGGGAUGACGGCCUUCGGGUUGUAAACCGCUUUCGCCUGUGACGAAGCGUGAGUGACGGUAAUGGGUAAAGAAGCACCGGCUAACUACGUGCCAGCAGCCGCGGUGAUACGUAGGGUGCGAGCGUUGUCCGGAUUUAUUGGGCGUAAAGGGCUCGUGGGUGGUUGAUCGCGUCGGAAGUGUAAUCUUGGGGCUUAACCCUGAGCGUGCUUUCGAUACGGGUUGACUUGAGGAAGGUAGGGGAGAAUGGAAUUCCCGGUGGAGCGGUGGAAUGCGCAGAUAUCAGGAGGAACACCAGUGGCGAAGGCGGUUCUCUGGGCCUUUCCUGACGCUGAGGAGCGAAAGCGUGGGGAGCGAACAGGCUUAGAUACCCUGGUAGUCCACGCUGUAAACGGUGGGUACUAGGUGUGGGGUCCAUUCCACGGGUUCCGUGCCGUAGCUAACGCUUUAAGUACCCCGCCUGGGGAGUACGGCCGCAAGGCUAAAACUCAAAGGAAUUGACGGGGCCCCGCACAAGCGGCGGAGCAUGCGGAUUAAUUCGAUGCAACGCGUAGAACCUUACCUGGGUUUGACAUGGAUCGGGAGCGCUCAGAGAUGGGUGUGCCUCUUUUGGGGUCGGUUCACAGGUGGUGCAUGGCUGUCGUCAGCUCGUGUCGUGAGAUGUUGGGUUAAGUCCCGCAACGAGCGCAACCCUUGUUCACUGUUGCCAGCACGUUAUGGUGGGGACUCAGUGGAGACCGCCGGGGUCAACUCGGAGGAAGGUGGGGAUGACGUCAAGUCAUCAUGCCCCUUAUGUCCAGGGCUUCACGCAUGCUACAAUGGCUGGUACAGAGAGUGGCGAGCCUGUGAGGGUGAGCGAAUCUCGGAAAGCCGGUCUCAGUUCGGAUUGGGGUCUGCAACUCGACCUCAUGAAGUCGGAGUCGCUAGUAAUCGCAGAUCAGCAACGCUGCGGUGAAUACGUUCCCGGGGCU
rnacentral:rRNA from 1 species